GUGGGGAAUAUUGCGCAAUGGGGGAAACCCUGACGCAGCGACGCGGUGUGAGGGAAGAAGGCUUUCGGGUCGUAAACCUCUGUCAGAAAGGAAGAACCUCCCAUAUCCGAAUAGGGUGUGGGACUGACGGUACUUUCAAAGGAAGCACCGGCUAACUCCGUGCCAGCAGCCGCGGUAAUACGGAGGGUGCUAGCGUUAAUCGGAAUCACUGGGCGUAAAGCGCGCGUAGGCCGCUUCUUAAGUCGGACGUGAAAGCCCUCGGCUCAACCGGGGAACUGCGUUCGAUACUGGGAGGCUUGAGUCCUGGAGAGGGUGGCGGAAUUCCGGGUGUAGGAGUGAAAUCCGUAGAUAUCCGGAGGAACACCGGUGGCGAAGGCGGCCACCUGGACAGGUACUGACGCUGAGGCGCGAAAGCGUGGGGAGCAAACAGGAUUAGAUACCCGGGUAGUCC
rnacentral:rRNA from 1 species